AUUAUUUCUGUAACAGUUAAUACAGGCUUGAGUCCUGUCUUACUGUGGAUGUCUGAUGGCAAGUUGGAUGGAGUGAUUUUUACAAUGGCAACCCACAGACUCAAUGUGGACACCUUGUUGUAAAACACUUUAUUAUUAUUAUUAUUAUGAUUAACUGUAUUAUAUUUAUUCCUUUUGAUAUAUGAGUGAUGUGUCUGGCACACAUUUUCUUGUUCUCUAGUUUCCUUGUUUCUUCUGCCUUGGCUGCACAGCUGUGGAAACCUGACCUGGUGAGGACCCUCUCCUUCAUCCUCAACUAUUGAACCUCUUAUAUCACUCGGAAGAGGUGUUCUGGAUCCAGACUGGAGCUUGUGUAAAUCCUACAGUAGUUACCACGGGAUGAAGAUCCCAGCAGAAACAGAGAAACAAAUAGAGACAUCAUGUUCCAACACAGACAGACCAGCCUGUGAUCUCCUAAGACACCCAGAUUCAGCCCUGGUCACGAUCUGUCCCACACCUGUGUCUCAUCACAGUCCAUCACCAGUGUCUGCACCCUGCCUACUGCCAAUAUUAUGGAUUUCUGUUCUGGAGAGAGAUGCCAUUCACAACAUAAUCUCUACACAAUAUCAAACUCAAAUAAUUUAGUCUUGCCUAACAGUUUCCCUGAUUUGUUACAGUUUACAAUGUAGCAUGGUCUUGCCUAACUUUGUCCAUUCAGUUGUUAAAAUGUUUUUAAUAUUUGAAUUGAA